GACGUAGGGCGCGAGCGUUGUCCGGAUUUAUUGGGCGUAAAGAGCUCGUAGGCGGCUUGUUACGUCGACUGUGAAAACCCGCGGCUCAACCGUGUGGCUUGCAGUCGAUACGGGCAGGCUAGAGUGCGGUAGGGGAGACUGGAAUUCCUGGUGUAGCGGUGAAAUGCGCAGAUAUCAGGAAGAACACCUAUGGCGAAGGCAGCUCUCUGGGACGGUACUGACGCUGAGACGCGAAAGCGUGGGGAGCGAACAGG
rnacentral:rRNA from 1 species